CGUCACAUGUGGCCAAGAAUGAAAGUGACCCAUACUAGGUAUUAGUGCUCUGCAUUUAUCCCAUCCAAAGUGCACACACACAGCAGUGAACACACACACACCGUGAACACACACC